ACAUAAUGGAAAUGUAUCGGACUGCAAAUCCUGGAAUGACGGUUCGACCCCGUC
rnacentral:tRNA from 1 species